rnacentral:lncRNA from 1 species
GUUCAGUGGACCGUGAAAUUGGGGUCAAUACUUUAAUUUGGCGUUAAAAUUAGAAAGAUCAUAUCAUAGGGAACAUGUUUACUAAGUUUCAAGUUGAUCAUGUUGAUUGGACUUCAACUUCAUCAAAAACUACCUUGACCAAAAACUUUAACCUGAAGCGGGACGAACGAACGAACGAACGAUCGGACGCACAGACCAGAAAACAUAAUGCCUCUCUACUAUCGUAGGUGGGGCAAAUCCAAUAAAAAUGUAUCGAAAAUAUAGCACAAAAGAAAUCAUGAAAUAACUCAGUGCAAUCCCAAUCUAAGAUGCAAACACAUCAAAAGAAAAACAAAAUCACACCAUAUCUCCACAUGACACAAAACAAAAACCAACUGCAAUCAACAAAUAAGACGCAAAGAGUCACAAGAAAUUUAAAAAAAAUCCAUUCGCGGGCAACUACCGACUUAUUAUACUGUAUGAUCGAACACAAGCAUAGCCAAAAUAUGACACCAAAGAAAUAAGACGCAAACUAAAUUACAAGAAAUUACAAGAUCAAUAAAUGAUGUAUAAAAAAUAAUUCCGAGCAACA